rnacentral:sRNA from 1 species
CUACUGUAGAGAAUCAUCUGGCCAUCUUGGCAAAGAGAAACGAUCUGAGCAGAAACUACUUUUACCAAACAGUAAAGAUAUUUGCCAACUGGCCAAAGCCCAGGGAACGAAGGGCCUGACCAGCAUAGGGACGUCUAUCAGGAGAUCCUCCCUCUGCAACAAGACUCCAUAUCACCUCUGCCUUCCGAGGCUUGCAGAGGAAGUGGCUUUGCUUCCACACAGAGGUAGUACUAGGAAACUGGCCUGGACACGUUAGCCAUGAAAAUCUGCCUUUCAGUAAAAACUUCUCAUUAUUUAAAUGAUUUCACGUUUUUCAAGCUUCUGGCUGAGUACUUAUCUGUCACCCACGUCACCCACAAAGCCCGGGAUGAUCGACAGCAUUACAGAUUGAGGUUGGGAGGCUGCUAGUCUCACAGUUUAAGAAGAGAAAGGAAAAGAAAUUCAAAGGAAGGCCAAAGAGAUCGAGGAAACGGUAACCAAAAAAUAAGAAUUCAACAAGACCAGCUGGACGCAUGUGAUUGCUUUUAUGAUCCAUUUUGGCAAAACAAGAGGAGAAGGACAGGAGAAAGUGCAGAAGAAGAAAGGGCAAUGUGUACUGAAGACCAGAGACCUGAAUUGAGGCUGUCACAAUCCCUCUGAAGAUCCUACAAAGAUAUUGUCUCCAGGUUCCUGGGAUCAAUCCAGCAUAACUGUAGUCUUCACGGGAAAUCUUCUCUUAUUUAAAGUUCUAUGUCAAAUCCACCCUUCUCCACCCAAGUCAUAUUGGUUGGGGACCCACCCUACUCAAGUAUGACACCUUGUCUUAACGAGGGACACAUGGAAUGGUCCUAGAUUUUGAGGUGCUAUGGAUUAAGUCCUCAAUAUGUGAAAUUUGGCUGACUGCAAUUCCACAUUUACAGACACCCACUGUAUUUACCAUAACAGAGUCUAAGUGCCAGAGACGUGACUUAAACCUGGCUCUGCCCUGUGGGCAGCACACAGAGUUCUGUCCUGAGCAUGCUCAGAGUAGGUGUUUAGUCUUGAUAUUGUAGUAGUUUGAACAGGAAUGGUCCCUGAGACACAUAUUUGAAAGCUUGGCUCAUAGUGAGUGGCACUAUUAGGAGGUGUGGCGUAGUUGGAGGAAGUGUGUCACUGUGGAGGCAGGCUUUAAAGUCUCAUCUACUCAAACUAUGCCCAGUGUGGCUUGCAGUCUUUUUCUGCUGCCUUCAG